AGUUACUUACUGCUUUUGUGACGUUGUGAGCUCAUUAUAUAGGGUGAUAUUUUAUUUUGUUAUUCGGUUUUGGCUUCAUUUUUUAAUUAAAUUAAACUUAAUGCAGAGAUGUGCUCGAUUAUUUACAGAUGAAAUUGAAAUAAGGUAUAUUAAUCAGUGCUUAUUCUGCCAAUUUAUAAAUUAGCCAAUGGCUACACAUUGACCAAAUUGGCUAAAUAAAAUUCUAUUUGGGGAUAAAAAGAAAUUCGUAGAAUUUCGCAAAAGGAAGUCAAAUUUGGCUUAAAAAUUUUUUAAGCAUGGGUAGCCUAGUAAAUCUUUGAGCUUGAUUUGUUUUUCAAUGCUAUAUAAAUCAACUAAAACAUGAAAGAUUCAGGUGUUUUCUAUGAAUUAUCUUUUAAGUCCAUUUUGCACAAAUAGUUACCAUAUUUUAUUCAGUUCUGACUUUUUUUUAAAGACGUAUGUACAGAUAUUUUAGACUAAAAAAUUAAUUGUUCAAAAUCUGUAAAAAGAAGAGCACCUUUAAUGUUGUUAUAUUUGACACAAAAAUAAGUAAACCAAACACAAAUAUUAAUAUCAAGAACGGCAUCAGAAAAUGAGACUUGCUCAGGGAAAAUAGGGCCUAAUGCGUGUGUAUAAAAUUAUCGCCCCAGAUUAGACUGUGUGCAGUCUGCAUCGGUUAAUUAGGUAGAAAACUUUUCCCUUAGAUUCGAUUUUUGUGUAAAAUAUAUUUUCUUUACACAAAGUAUUACACAAAAAGGGAAAGUGUUGUCCCUGAUAAGCCUGAACGAAUUUCACAGGAUAUAUGGAUCGACACUUGAUGCACAUGCAUUAAGCCCUGUUUUCCCAAAUUGCCACUCAAAGAUUAAAUGCAAGAAAGGUAUCGCUAUAUAAUGAGCUCCUGGAUAUUGUGGCUGCUUCCUCUAACAUCACGGUGUGGUAGUACAGCCAUAGUCAGGUAAAUAUACCUCCUUGGACACCCAUUGCUAACAAGAUAAGAUAAUCAAGUUAAUUACCAUACAGCCCAUAUAUACCUUACAGGGCGUUUUGGGGACUUAGGCUGAUUUCUAAAUGGGUAUGUAACCUGACUUUUGCUAGAAUAAUGGACAGGGCUGCUCUUGUUCAAUUAUAAAAAAUCAAAUUAUGAGCAGGGCUGUUUAAGUUUGAUCAUCGUGAAUUCAGAAUUACGGACAGGGCUGUUCAUUUUUAUGUCCCCCACUAUAGUAGUGGGGGACAUAUUGUUUUUGCCCUGUCUGUUGGUUGGUCUGUUGGUCUGUUGGUUGGUUUGCGCCAACUUUAACAUUUUGCAAUAACUUUUGCUAUAUUGAAGAUAGCAACUUCAUAUUUGGCAUGCAUGUGUAUCUCAUGAAGCUGCACAUUUUGAGUGGUGAAAGGUCAAGGUCAUCCUUCAAGGUCAGAGGUCAAAUAUAUGUGGCCAACAUCGCUCAUUUUAUGAAUACUUUUGCAAUAUUGAAGAUAGCAACUUGAUAUUUGGCAUGCAUGUGUAUCUCAUGGAGCUGCACAUUUUGAGUGGUGAAAGGUCAAGGUCAUCUUUCAAGGUCAGAGGUCAAAUAUAUGUGGCCCAAAUCGCUUAUUUUAUGAAUACUUUCGCAAUAUUGAAGAUAGCAACUUGAUAUUUGGCAUGCAUGCAUGUCUAAUGGAGCUGAACAUUUUGAGUGGUGAAAGGUCAAGGUCAUCCUUCAAGGUCAAAUAUAUGGAUCAAAAUUGCUAGCAAUGUUAUAUUUGAAAUGCAUGUGUAUCUCAUGGAGCUGCACAUUUUAAGUGGUGAAGGGUCAAGGUUAUCCUUCAAGGUAAAACGUCAUAUAGGGGGACAUUGUGUUUCACAAACACAUCUUGUUAAUUAUCAUUAAUUUAUGGACAGGGCUUUUUCUUUUUAUAUUGGGAAUGUGACCUAUACCCCACGAAAUGUAACAUUUUGAAUUAAUUUACUCCAAAUUGGAAGAAAAAAACACAUUUAUUUUGUUUGAUGCAUUAAUUUUGAACUAUUGGUGAUAAAACUUACAUUCAACUGUAAAUUCCAAACUUAAACAUUUCAGUAAAUUUUAUAUUAGAAUUUAAAACCUAUUUACUAGUAUUAACAGACUAAUCAUCUCUAUUUCUAAAUAUCAAAUAGUCAAACAAUCAGUAAGUUGUUUUGGGACUGGAUUUCGGACAAACUAUCCUUUUUUUCGAUUGUGUAUAUAAUGGCUAUAGAAUUAGCCCAAAAGAGAUAUGGAUAGCUGUAUGUUUUGCUUUGUCAAAAGAUCACAAUCUGAAAUUUAUUUUUUGGGGAAUACAUGAUCUGAAAGCUUCAUCGUUCAAUGAAUAAAUGAACAUUGGGUGUCUAAUAGUAGAAGCUUUUCACGUCUUUUACAAUCAUUUUUUGUCAGCCUAGACAUUAGUUUUUAACCAGGUUUUCCGAAGGAAAAAACUGGUUAUUAGAUUGGCGAAUGCGGGCGGGCUGGCUGGCUGGCGGGCUGGCUGGCUGGCUGGCGGGCUGGCGGAAUAAGCUUGUCCGGGCCAUAACUAUGUCGUUCAUUGUCAGAUUUUAAAAUCAUUUGGCACAUUUGUUCACCAUCAUUGGACGGUGUGUCGCGCGAAAUAAUUACGUCGAUAUCUCCAAGGUCAAGGUCACACUUUGAGUUCAAAGGUCAAAAAUGGCCAUAAAUGAGCUUGUCCGAGCCAUAACUAUGUCGUUCAUCGUCAGAUUUUAAAAUCAUUUGGCACAUUUGUUCACCAUCAUUGGACGGUGUGUCGCGCGAAAUAAUUACGUCGAUAUCUCCAAGGUCAAGGUCGCCACGACUAAAAAUAGAUUUAAAAAAAACAAAAAAACUUACAAAGGGGGUUAAUUU